AGCUGAGACACUGCUAGUGGACCCUGGCCCCUCCUCACCCCUCACCUGGAGAUGCCCACACGUCUGGUACAGCAGCUGACAGCUGACUACUCGGUCCCCCACCUGCUACUUUCCACCAGACACCUUCUGACCUGGGAGAGGAACAGACAGGGAGCAAGACAGAAGCAUCAAUGAUGAGAAAUAAUUAUUGAUUGGCUGCCUCCUGCACUGGGGAUUGAAACCCCACCUCAGGCAUGUGACCCAACCAGGAAUCAAACUGUGGAUGCUUAACCUCUGAGCAACACCGGCCGGGCUAAUGGAAUAGUAUUUAAAAAUUUUAAAAUAGAACUUUUUGGGGAAGUUUUCAAAUGUAAACAGAGAAGUUUCAAGAAUAAAUAUAGUACAAAGAGCA